AUCUCUUCUGACCCCCUGGGACAUCGCAGGCCAACGAGUUUCACCCAGUGACCCUGCGCUGAGCCCAAUAACCCGCAUUUGGCGAAAGCCCCUUCCAGAAAGGCCCCACUCUGGUCUAAGAUGGAGCCACGGCCCUCGGGAAUUUGUUCCCCUAGUGAUCCCCUCAACAUCAGACUAGUGCCUCCUGUCGCAGCUGGGAUUUGUCUGGCUGCAGCUGCUAGCCACUGGCUCCUCCGCCUUCCUUUGCUAGCUCAGAGGCUGCAGCUCGCAAGAUUUCUCCCCGGGAUGGCACUCAGAUCCCAUAACCAAGUCAGCUCUCAACCUUCAUCUGAGAAGCUCAGCAGAUUGCGCUGCGUCCAUCUCUCCCCAUCAGACCUUUUUCUCCAGCCUUAGAUCGUUUCUGGGGCUCGUCUCUGCCCCCUCUUCAGCUUUUCCACAGGCGCCCCCAGAACAGGACACAGGAUUCCAGGAUCCGUCUCACCAAGACAGAGGUAAAAUUGCCUCCCUUCUCCUCCUCACAGCUCCCCUGUUUAUACACCUGAGGACUGUGAC